CGUAUCCACGAUCCAUUGCUGA
rnacentral:miRNA from 1 species